rnacentral:rRNA from 1 species
CCUACGGGAGGCAGCAGUGGGGAAUAUUGCACAAUGGGCGAAAGCCUGAUGCAGCAACGCCGCGUGAGCGAUGAAGGCCUUCGGGUCGUAAAGCUCUGUCCUCAAGGAAGAUAAUGACGGUACUUGAGGAGGAAGCCCCGGCUAACUACGUGCCAGCAGCCGCGGUAAUACGUAGGGGGCUAGCGUUAUCCGGAAUUACUGGGCGUAAGGGGUGCGUAGGUGGGUUCUUGAGUCAGAGGUGAAAGGCUACGGCUCAACCGUAGUAAGCCUUUGAAACUGGGGAACUUGAGUGCAGGAGAGGAGAGUGGAAUUCCUAGUGUAGCGGUGAAAUGCGUAGAUAUUAGGAGGAACACCAGUUGCGAAGGCGGCUCUCUGGACUGUAACUGACACUGAGGCACGAAAGCGUGGGGAGCAAACAGGAUUAGAUACCCGGGUAGUC